AUUGAACGCUGGCGGCAGGCCUAACACAUGCAAGUCGAACGAGUGGCGGACGGGUGAGUAAUGUCUGGGAAACUGCCCGAUGGAGGGGGAUAACUACUGGAAACGGUAGCUAAUACCCCAUACCUUCGGAUGUGCCUAGAUGGGAUUGGCUUGUAGGUGGUGUAACGGCACACCUAGACGACGAUCCCUAGCUGUUGUGAGAGGAUGACCAGCCACACUGGAACGGAAACACGGUCCAGACUCCUACGGGAGACAGCAGUGGGAAAUAUUGCACAAUGGGCGCAAGCCUGAUGCAGCCAGGCCGCGUAGAGAAAGAGGGCCUUCGGAUGUUAAAGUACUUUCUGCGAGAAUGCGGUACUCACAGAAGAAGCACCGGCUAACUCCGUGCCAGCAGCCGCGGUAAUAC
rnacentral:rRNA from 1 species